UCAAAACCGCAGCCCGACUUGAGUGGAGCUCUUUUUUGUGAAGAGGCACGAUGAACAAAAAAAGCGGGAACGGAAGGCGGAAUAGCUG
rnacentral:misc_RNA from 1 species